rnacentral:tRNA from 1 species
GGAAGAGUGGCCGAGUGGCUGAAGGCGCAUGCCUGGAAAGCAUGUAUACGGUUUCACCGUAUCGAGGGUUCGAAUCCCUCUUCUUCCG